UUGGAACACACUUUCAGUCUCCUAAGCAGUUUAAGACGAUCACUUCGCUUGUGCUUGUUCUGCGAUCUUGUAGUCCUUUAACCUGAGAUACUCAUCUUCCUUCACCAUUACUGGUGUUUAAGACGUUCUCUCAUUAACCUUCCCCUUCCUUGUUUGGCAACCCCAUUAGGACUCCUUUCUAGCCUGAGAUACUCGUCUCCCUUCACCACUCUUGGUGUUUACGACGUUCUCUCAUUUAGCACUUCAACAACCUUUCUACCCUUCAUCCGAUAUACUUGAGACCUAUUCGCAAUUGUCCUUUGUUUCAGCUGCUCCACCUUGAGCUAAAACAUCCAUCACAUCUUAUCCGUCACAGGUAAAUUUUCUUGCUCCAUACUAGCUCUUUAUUAUCGAUAAGAAAUAACAGUAGUCCCUUACUCAUUAUUUCUUCUUGUGCGAGGUGUCUCAAUAAUAAAAUUUCCUGUGACACUUUUCUCCUAUUAGUGGACAUUGGGAAGUUCACAGCGAAGCUGCAACUUCUGAUCAGAUAUGUUUCCGAAAUAGAAUGACAGCAGAUUCAAAGUGUGAUCAUCAACUAUCUCGGCAUCUGAUCGAGAACAUCUCAAGAAUCCUACAAGGAUCAAUCCGGAUCCGGUUGAAACCGGACCACCAAAGAGAACGGAUGAACCUCGA